rnacentral:rRNA from 1 species
UACGGGGGGGGCAAGCGUUGUUCGGAAUUAUUGGGCGUAAAGGGCGCGUAGGCGGCCUGGCAAGUGGAAGGUGAAAUCCCUCGGCUUAACCGAGGAACUGCCCUCCAAACUGCUUGGCUUGAGUCCGGGAGAGGUGAGUGGAAUUCCCAGUGUAGCGGUGAAAUGCGUAGAUAUCUGGAGGAAUACCGGUGGCGAAGGCGGCAUCCUGGACCGGCAUUGACGCUGAGGAGCGAAAGCCAGGGGAGCAAACGGG